rnacentral:lncRNA from 1 species
UCCUCCCACUACCUCCACCUUGGAUAAACUCUUUUUCCAAGAAGAUGACAUGGUGGCUCACAAUCACAUUGUGAUCCUCAAAAAGAUAAAAGUAGUAUCCCAUGAUUUCUUUAGGAUACCCUAUAAAGCGAGCCCUAAAGGACCUAGCCUUUAACUUGUCUGCCUGCUGUCACUUGACAUGGGUCGGACAUCCUCAAAUCUUGAGAUACCUAAGAGUUAGCUUCUUACCAU